GACGAACCGUGCGAACGUUGUUCGGAUUCACUGGGCUUAAAGGGCGCGUAGGCGGCUGACCAAGUCUGGGGUGAAAUCUUUCGGCUCAACCGGAAAAUUGCCUGGGAUACUGGUCGGCUCGAGGGAGGUAGGGGCAGCUGGAACUUCCAGUGGAGCGGUGAAAUGCGUUGAUAUUGGAAGGAACGCCGGUGGCGAAAGCGAGCUGCUGGACCUCUUCUGACGCUGAGGCGCGAAAGCUAGGGGAGCGAACGGG
rnacentral:rRNA from 1 species